UACGUAGGGGGCAAGCGUUGUCCGGAAUCAUUGGGCGUAAAGCGCGUGUAGGCGGCCCGGUAAGUCCGCUGUGAAAGUCGGGGGCUCAACCCUCGAAUGCCGGUGGAUACUGUCGGGCUAGAGUGCGGGAGAGGCGAGUGGAAUUCCUGGUGUAGCGGUGAAAUGCGUAGAGAUCGGGAGGAACACCAGUGGCGAAGGCGGCUACCUGGACCAGCACUGACACUGAGGCACGAAAGCAUGGGUAGCAAACAGG
rnacentral:rRNA from 1 species